AUGGAAAACCGCACCCUAUGGCCAAGCAAGGAACUGUGGUCUCUGGGUGCCCAGUGCUCUCUUCAGAGAAACAGGGAAACUGCUGCGGAUGCAGGGUCAAGAUCCCCUCAGAUGCUCCCUUUCAUGUGCUGAAGUGUUAGUUGUGGCCCCAUUAACACUCUGUGAUGGGCGCCUUGGAGGAGCGGAGAGAGAAGCCCAGCUGAGAGAUGAGGCAAGGGAGGCCAAUAGGAGUUAAGGGACCUUCCCAAGGUUAUAAACAGACAAACCUGGAAUGGAAGUCAGUCUGGGGCUUGGAGCUGCUUCUAACCAAAGAUUGCCGUUCUGGGUAACAAGGCUGUAUUCUGCUGAGAUCUCCUGAGAAGUACACAGACUGUCUCCCAGAGGUGUUAAAAGGUUUCAGCUUAAAUGCCGUUUCCUCAGAGAUGCCUUCCCUGAUCUCCCAGUCUCAGUCUUCUUGGGCGUCCGCACCACAAGACCUUCAGGGCACCCGCCAGGGUUUGGGUGUUCCACGCUGUGUCUGUAAUCCACACGAGACUGCAGCCUCUCUUGUUCGUCUCUGUGCACCAGUGCCGCACGGCGUUACACCUGGCACGCGGUAGCCAUACAACUCAUAAGUAAAUAAAGAAAAAAGCCAGAAACCUACCUAUGUAGCCCAGAAAUCCAACUCAAGUCCUUUUGGCUGGCAAGACAAGAGGCUUGGAUCUCCAUCAAGCCUGCCCACUGUUGAAAGUGCUCAGGUUUCCCAGGAAAUAGCUGGGAUAAUAGUUGGGGAGAUUUUAGGACACCGUCGGACAGGGGAGGAUUUGACAAACAUUUGUGGAGUUUCCACUGUGAGUCACACCCUGUGGAGGCAAUGGAGACGCAAAAGCCGUGAGGACAUAGUAGCUGCUUGCACGGGGAUCAAAGAACUGGAAAGAGGCAAAGUGAUCGCAAGACCCUAAAGCACUGGGCAGUAUGAGACCUUGUGAUGGUGAAUGCUUGGCCUAGACGGUUCUAAGGAGCCCUCUGGCCGUACAGUCAGGGACAUUUACAUCAAAUGGGGACAAGAACUCGAGGUAUUUGAGGGUCUGAAGGAGAUUCCAGAACUAUUUAA